GCUGUGAAAACAAGAAACAGUGCUUUUCUCUAAACUAUGGGAAUUCAGAAGAGGAGCCCAGAAACAGCACACAAGAGACACCAAGGAUGACAUGAUCAUCU